UGAUCGGUUGAUGUUAGGGUUGUGUUGAAGCUAAGUCAGCUAGCUAGACUUUCCCCUGUGCCCUGCCAAUGGCCGCCGACAGUGGGCCCACCCAUGAGGCCCACAUCUCGUGUCCAGUCGCGGGGAGGGUGACUCCCCGAUUGGGAGCCCAUAUAUUGCCUCACUUUAUAUCACUGAAUUGACGUUCCGCUCCGUCUAAUGGCAUGCAUGCGGACCACCACAACAGGAGCAGAUCAUGUGCUGCUUCUGGCUGUUUUGUGAUUGGGUCAGUACGGCAGAGCGGAAUCCUCCUCGCUUCGCUCUUAUCCGUUAACAACUCUGUCUUUUAUUUUUAUUGCGAGUGAGCUCACCGCCCAUGGUGGUGACCUGACCUCGCAACCACCCCUCUUUCUUCGCCCGCCCGCUUCCUCCCCAUGUCUUCCGCUCGUCGAAGAAAAGAACAAGGCAAAGAUGGCAACUUUCCAGUUCGCCAGAUCCAGCUUCUCGCCCACACUCCGCUUCCGGCUGUUGGCCCCGCUCCCUCGUCGGGUCUCCACCAUCCCCCUCCGCUGCUGCCUCCAGAAGGACGGCGGCGAGCCAAAUGGGGAGGAGCCGCCGGAGUCGUUGUUCAUGAAGGAGCUGAAGCGGAGGGGCAUGAACCCGACGUCUCUGUUGGACGACAGCGAUGGUGGGACGAUCGGGUCGUUGGAUUCCGAGGAAGAGAUCAGCAACCGUGCGGAUAGAAGAAGGGGGCAGACGAAACGGAACGAUGUGGCGUGGGCAGCCUUCGACAAGGCGACAUCGAACCAGAGGGAACGGUCUAUGUCGUUGAACAGCGAGGGCCUCGAGCCACUGUGGUGUCGGAGCCUGUUGACGAGGGCCCUGGACACUCAUUUAUCCACAUCGGCCCUGAAGUGCCCCACCUUGCUAGCUUCGACUCUGACGCCUACUUUCGUGUCCACCACUCUGAUGAGGGUGUCGCCAUCGGCUCCACCAUGUUCCAAUCCAUCUUUCGGUGCAUCUGUGAGUGCCACCCUGCUCUCUACUGCAUUGCUUAUCCUUUAAAACAAGCUGGCCUGCUCCUCCGCCACCUCCUUUGAAGCUCCUCCUCCUUCGCCUCCAUCUGUCUACAAGCCUGACACUCCGGUUCACUCUCCGGUCCCAAGUCUCGCAAAGAAGUCACCAUGAAGCACAGGUUGCUAAUGGAAAAGAUAGUGAGCUUACUCCCCACCAAAAAAGAGCUCUGUUUCGUGUAGUUUUCUGCUCAAGCUUCUUAAGGCCGCAACAUACUCCAUGCUUCGACAUCAUUGAAGAUGGAAUUGGCCAGGUGAAUUGGACUGCAACUAGAGGAGGCAUCUGUUGAUGGUCUUCUGAUUUCACUCAACUCAAAUUCGAGUGGUAUGCUGUAGGAGGUCGAUAUAGUGGUGGCCAUGUUAGAGGAAUUCCUGCUUCAACGAUAGAGCCCAGCAGCAAGUCCACCCAAAGAGAAGCUUCGUUGUGAGAGGUCUCGGUCUACCGAGAAUAU